CCUACGGGAGGCAGCAGUGGGGAAUCUUAGACAAUGGGCGCAAGCCUGAUCUAGCCAUGCCGCGUGAGUGAUGAAGGCCUUAGGGUCGUAAAGCUCUUUCGCCUGUGAUGAUAAUGACAGUAGCAGGUAAAGAAACCCCGGUUAACUCCGUGCCAGCAGCCGCGGUAAUACGGAGGGGGUUAGCGUUGUUCGGAAUUACUGGGCGUAAAGCGCACGUAGGCGGAUUAGAAAGUUAGGGGUGAAAUCCCGGGGCUCAACCUCGGAACUGCCUCUAAAACUCCUAGUCUAGAGUUCGAGAGAGGUGAGUGGAAUUCCAAGUGUAGAGGUGAAAUUCGUAGAUAUUUGGAGGAACACCAGUGGCGAAGGCGGCUCACUGGCUCGAUACUGACGCUGAGGUGCGAAAGUGUGGGGAGCAAACAGGAUUAGAUACCCUGGUAGUCCACACCGUAAACGAUGAAUGCCAGUCGUCGGCAAGUAUACUUGUCGGUGACACACCUAACGGAUUAAGCAUUCCGCCUGGGGAGUACGGUCGCAAGAUUAAAACUCAAAGGAAUUGACGGA
rnacentral:rRNA from 1 species